rnacentral:rRNA from 1 species
UGGGGAAUUUUGGACAAUGGGGGCAAGCCUGAUCCAGCCAUGCCGCGUGUGUGAAGAAGGCCUUCGGGUUGUAAAGCACUUUCGGCCGGAACGAAAUCGCCUGNGUUAAUAGCSNGKGUGGAUGACGGUACCGGAAGAAGAAGCACCGGCUAACUACGUGCCAGCAGCCGCGGUAAUACGUAGGGUGCGAGCGUUAAUCGGAAUUACUGGGCGUAAAGGGUGCGCAGGCGGUUCCGCAAGUCAGGCGUGAAAUCCCCGGGCUUAACCUGGGAAUGGCGCUUGAAACUACGGGRCUGGAGUAUGGCAGAGGGAGGUGGAAUUCCACGUGUAGCGGUGAAAUGCGUAGAGAUGUGGAGGAACACCGAUGGCGAAGGCAGCCUCCUGGGCCAAUACUGACGCUCAUGCACGAAAGCGUGGGGAGCAAACAGGAUUAGAUACCCUGGUAGUCCACGCCCUAAACGAUGAUGACUAGUUGUUGGAGGAGUUAAAUCCUUUAGUAACGCAGCUAACGCGAGAAGUCAUCCGCCUGGGGAGUACGGUCGCAAGAUUA